CAGUAGCCGCGGGAAUACGAAGGGGGCUAGCGUUGUUCGGAAUUACUGGGCGUAAAGGGCGCGUAGGCGGCCAUUCAAGUUAGAUGUGAAAGCCCUGGGCUCAACCUAGGAAUUGCAUUUGAUACUGUUUGGCUUGAGUUCGGGAGAGGUGAGUGGAAUUCCCAGUGUAGAGGUGAAAUUCGUAGAUAUUCGCAAGAACACCGGUGGCGAAGGCGGCUCACUGGCCCGGAACUGACGCUGAGGCACGAAAGCGUGGGGAGCAAACAGGAUUAGAGACCCCUGUAGUCCCUGUCUCUUAUAC
rnacentral:rRNA from 1 species